rnacentral:tRNA from 1 species
AGCAGCGUGGCUCAGUGGAAAGAGCACAGGCUUUGGACUCAGAGGUCAUGGGUUCGAAUCCCAGCUCUGCCA